rfam:Clostridiales bacterium Nov_37_41 Ley3_66761_scaffold_2666, whole genome shotgun sequence.
GGGGGCGUAAAGGUUUCGACGGGGAUUUUGAACUGCAAUAAGCGAGUAGAGACGGUGUUCACUCUUUAAAUUGCACCACGUUUAAAUAUAAACGCUAGAAAUAAUAUUACUGUAAGCACAAGAAACUUACAGGUAGCAGCCUAAGUCUGCUACUGUCCUCCUUUUGAGUACCACGGCAAAAGCUUGGGCAUCGAUUAGUGGUGAACGUUCUUCCGUAUUGUUCCGGACGGUAUGAAUGUAUCAGGAACUACUGAUACUGACAGCCUGUUUAUCGGCGGUCAGUUUAAGGAAUUUUAAAAGGUAAACUACACUCGUAGAAAGUUGUACGGAUAGAUUUUCGGACACGAGUUCGACUCUCGUCGCCUCCACCA